rnacentral:piRNA from 1 species
UGCGUCCUCACUAUCAGCUUG